rnacentral:lncRNA from 1 species
UUCUCCAUAGAGGACACAAUCUUGAUCUAAAGCCUCGAGGUCUUCAUCGUGACUCUCCCGUUGGGGCUCACCAGAGAUGUCCCACGCUUCUUUCUCUCUUUCUAGUCACCAUGGAAUUUUCUUGACCCACUUGCCCUGCAACCUGGACCCGCUGCAGCGUCCCUUCUGGCGCUGGGCCUCUUCCAUGCUGCCCGCUGAGGGGCACAGCAGCAGCCCCAGCAAGAGUGAGCUUGUGUCUUCUGAGAAGGGGGCAACACCUACAGGCCCAGAUGGUCCAGGGGAGUGUGAGAGUCAAGGCUCUUCAGUGCAUUGACCUGCCUUGCAAUGGAAAGAGACCAACUGAGAGACCAGAGAGAGCCAGAAAGCCAGAGAAGACAAAGGGAACAGAGGCCCAGCCAGCCCCCAGCGUCCCAGCUGUGCCAUCCCCAACCUGCAGCAGAGGCGAGCCAUUCGGUGAGCCCUGCCCGGAGCCCUGGCGCCAGGAGCCUGCAUUGUCAGUCCAGGCCUCUAUGUGUGGAGGUUUCCUUUGAAAAUAUCCCCCCAAAUCCGGGGAGAUUGGAGGUGAUGAGAAAGAGAUAUAAAUAUAUUUAUCCAUUGACAGGUAUGUAUCUGUAUGUGGAUAAUAUAUUUGUGUAAAAUCUCUCCUGAGCCAGAUGGGCCCGUUGACUCUCCUUCCUUUGGAAAUCGGUUCUGCGUAAAGGAUUGAGAUGUAAUUUAUAUGCUUCCGUAAAUGACAAGGGUUUGCCCGUAUAAUUAGCAAUAAUGAUAAAUAAAAAUAAAAUGUGGGCUUAUCCA